rnacentral:rRNA from 1 species
CCUACGGGAGGCAGCAGUGAGGAAUAUUGGUCAAUGGGCGUAAGCCUGAACCAGCCAAGUAGCGUGCAGGAAGACGGCCCUACGGGUUGUAAACUGCUUUUAUGCGGGGAUAAAGUGCAAUACGCGUAUUGCUUUGCAGGUACCGCAUGAAUAAGGACCGGCUAAUUCCGUGCCAGCAGCCGCGGUAAU